UACGUAGGGUGCAAGCGUUAAUCGGAAUUACUGGGCGUAAAGCGUGCGCAGGUGGUUAUACAAGACCGACGUGAAAGCCCCGGGCUCAACCUGGGAAUGGCGUUGGUGACUGUAUGGCUAGAGUGUGGCAGAGGGGGGUGGAAUUCCACGUGUAGCAGUGAAAUGCGUAGAGAUGUGGAGGAACACCGAUGGCGAAGGCAGCCCCCUGGGCUAACACUGACACUCAUGCACGAAAGCGUGGGGAGCAAACAGG
rnacentral:rRNA from 1 species